CAAGGGAAGCAAGCAACUGCAGUCCCUCUAAGCCAAAACUAAUGGUGGCCACUCUCGACGGGCAAGCAUAUUACCAUCAACAAGUUCUGACAUCGGACACCCAAGGGAAGCCCUGCAACGACUGCAAUGUCAAUGCACGUUGCCCGAAGUUCAAUGCCUUGGCCCUCCACUCCGUGAAGUGACCCACAAAAGCAUGGGCCGCUGUCAGCUUGCGCCCCUGUCUUGAUCCGUGUGAGUUUCGUCUUCCAGUUUCCUAAAGUUGCACUUGGGAAAUCUUCUGCUUCUUCGCUUGGCUCUAAAAACGCGGAAUUGAUUAGCAGGAUCUAUGACCGGAUCGCAGCACCUUGGAUGCACGUAAAGGCACCUCUCCACAGCAGAAAACUCGCGACGUGGGCGUAUGCUGAAGUUGCGGGCUUGGAGUGUCCGACUCGUCCAUGUCCUGCUCCAGCUGGUCGUCUAUGGAGUAGCUGUUCGCGUUCUUGUUGUUGUCCGUAUAGGCGUGGUUAAAGAGCAAAUGGUUGGGACGCACUGCAUCCGUUAUAUACUUACUACAUUCCACGGGUUAGGCGGGCAUGGUCAGUACAAUAGCAACAAAGUUAAGGUUAUUGUUUAAUGGGACUACAUUUUGGCAACAAUUCGGUGUAAGUAGAUGAUACGCACACUGACCACCGGAAAACAAUGGCUAAUUUAACAAGGGUAUUUACAAGGAGCAAGAUUUGUCAAAAAUAUACAUGCAUUAAAAGAAUCACUGCUAAAAAGGAA